GUUUCCAGCUUCUUUGCUUUAGAACAUACAUUACUCCUGUUCUUUUCCAAACUAAAAUAAUUUUGAAUAGUUGAGUCGCCUUCAUAUGCAUACAAUAU
rnacentral:ribozyme from 1 species